ensembl:lncRNA
ACCUCCCUUCCUGCUCCCAUCCCCUCCCAGAUGGCAGGCAGGGCAAAAGGGGGAGUGCAGCAAUACCUUUGGCUUAUCAGUGACAGGACAAAUUGAUACCAGACCUUUAGGAGGGUGGGGAAACGUCUCUCCAUAAAAAGAAUCUAAAUUUACCAUCGUGUUAACAAUUCUGUAAGACUUUUUGGCAACUCCUAAUGGAAAUUUCAGGAGCAGAUGGAAAUAUUUGGAAACGUAUAGAACACAUGAGCCUGCAACAUCCAUUUUUAUUUUCUCAUUGGGAAUGUGGAAUGGUUUCAUGUUGCCUUUAUUUUUUUUUUUCUUUCUCUCUUCUGGAUACCAAGAAAAGCAAGAGAGGAAGAAGGCAAUGGCUGUAGGCAGGAGGGCUUUGGGGUGUUGCUUACUUGGCUCCCCUGUGUGGUCUGGGAGGGGAUUUGGGAGAAAGUGGCACCAACACAAGGUUCCUGGGCCUCAGGAAUUUGGGAGAUGAAAGGGUGACUGCCAGCUUGCCUGGAGAGCUCUAGUGAGCCAAGUAACUUUUUUUCUAUAUAAAAUGAACUGGGUGAGCAGUAUCUACCUCUGUGUGAGGUUUAAUUAACGUAUAGAGACCUCAAGGUUUCGUUAUUGGAAGAUAGUGCCAAAGGAUGCAGAAUGUCUUUUCUGCUCUUGAUGGCAGUGCCCAGGUCAAAGCAUCCCUGGGAGGGGCAAAGUCAGGCUUCAUAGCAAGAAGUAGAGAGACUCAAAUCCAUGGAGGACACUGAGAAGGUGAAUUGGACAUUUCCAGAUCCCACAGCCCCCAGGGUAAGGAAAGCUUUUGCUUUUUAGGUCCUGCAACCUACCCUAAUGCAUGAAACAGUGCAGGAGGACAAGAACUGGUGCGGGAUGUUUGUGUUUGAUAAAAGGAUAAUCGAAGGAAAAUAGGCGGCUACUUUUCUUAGAAGGACAGGUAAAUGUAACAGCAGAUCAGCAGCUAUUGAAAUGGGAUGGUGGGCUCUGCUCUGACAGAUGAAGUAUCAUAGGAUCACUGGACCUUAGAAUCAUAGAAACACAACGGUGAGGGGUUCAGCAUCCUCAUCCAUGUGCAGGGAAGGUGUGGGCUGUGGGAGACUGUCUCCCACCAUCCCCAGCACCUGCUUUGCCCAGGGCUGUUGGCACCAAGCACCUCCUGGAGCUGUGCACCCAGCUGUGGGGGAGCACAGGGUUUGUCCCUCCCCAUUCUAUGAUUCUACAGUCCUAUGAUUCUGUGUUCCUCAGCCCCUGGGAACGUGGGAAAAGCAGCUCCAAGGAAGGCUGUUAAAAGGGACGAUUUAAAUCCCAGCACAACCCCAUGUCACAAGUCAAUAGCACCUAUGGGAAAAGAUGUACCUUCUUCAUUAAGGAGAAAGCUUCUAACAAUUCUUGGUAA